rnacentral:piRNA from 1 species
CACAACAGGACCUGUAGAGAGACUCAA